GUCAGCCUGAUCCCAUCAGAUCUCACAAGCUAAGCAGUCUCUUCGGAACACCAGCGGCUGUGUGUGUUUCUCCAGGUAAAACUGGAGUUGCGUCAGGAAGGGCAUCCGGUGUAAAACUUGUGCCAAAUACCUAUGCGGAUCUGACUGUAUUCCCUGUGAUGACCUCGAACAAUAAUGUGAGCAGCUGAA